UACGGGGGGGCAAGCGUUGUUCGGAAUUACUGGGCGUAAAGGGCUCGUAGGUGGCCAACUAAGUCAGACGUGAAAUCCCUCGGCUUAACCGGGGAACUGCGUCUGAUACUGGAUGGCUUGAGUUCGGGAGAGGGAUGCGGAAUUCCAGGUGUAGCGGUGAAAUGCGUAGAUAUCUGGAGGAACACCGGUGGCGAAGGCGGCAUCCUGGACCGAUACUGACAUUGAGGAGCGAAAGCUAGGGGAGCAAACGGG
rnacentral:rRNA from 1 species